rnacentral:lncRNA from 1 species
ACAAGUUAAACCGGGUAGCCAGUGUCGACUCUUUAGAAGAGGACAUUCGAGCCAGGGCUCAAAGGGUGUAAGGGAAUUCUCCAGAGAGAGUUCUUUGGGGAAAAUGUUCUCGGCCAAGGAGCAGCCAGGGCAAAGGCCCUGCCAUGGAGCCUUGUUGGGUGGAGCAGGGAACAAGAGAGUCAGGGGAAGAGGUCAGGGUGGUUGUUACUGGGCAGAUUCACCAGGGCCUCAUAGGCCAUCAGAACUUUGGCUUUUGCCCUGAAUGACUUUGGAGCCACUGGAGAUUUUGAGUAAAGAAGCCACAUGGUCUGUUUUUAAAGGACACUCCCCAUGGCUGUUUUAGGGGCUCCCACCCCAGCUCUACCUCUUCAUAGCUGUAUCACUGGGCAAGUUAUUUCACUACUCAGCUUCACUUCUCUCUUGAAAGAGUAGAUUAAUAAUAUGUGUCUAACAGAUCCUUGGCAGAAAUUCCUGUCUGCUCCUGGGCCUAAGAAUAGCAGUCCUUCUGAGCAGUUGGUCUGUUUCACUCAUGAAAACUGGCUGUGUUUUGCUGCUUCCUGGCUGCUGGGAGCCCAGAGCCGAGCGAGUGCUGCCCACAGGGAACACAGCCGUCCCUGGGCUGCUUCAACUUGGUUCCCGUGCUCAGUUAUUUCGCGCCUAUUUUAAAAAUUUACCUUAAAUGUUAUCUCCUUAAAUAGCAAAUUUUCCCUCAGUUACAAAAGUAAUACUUAUGAAUAUAAGAUAUUUUAGGGGAUGUAUAUGAAAAGGAUCAUAAAUAAAAAUAUAUGUGAUUCAAAUAAAACCACUUUUAAUCUUUUUUUUUUUUUUUUAGUGUUUCUUUUCAAUCAUGGGUGUGUGCCAUAUGUGGCUAGAAGAUGACUGGGCUAUAAACAUUUGUUUUGUGUCAUGGUGGGACACAGGCAGAAAAGAAGGCACUUAUUUGGUUCGAGGCAUGAGAGGAAGCAACCCAUUUGGAAGAUUUAAGAACUGACAAGAUUUUAGCCCAGAAGAAGAAUAUCCUGAUGAAGAGAAGAGACAGAAUUAGAGGGAAGGUGAGGAAUUGUGGGUGCUAAUAAGGGGCCCCAUCACUCACCUCCCCCAGCUCUGUCCAGGAAGAAGGUGUAUGGGGACCAGCCACAAGAAGGCAGAGGGAUACUGUGGGGCUCCAAGAUCAGGACAGACCCGUUCCUUCCCACUCUGCAGAGCCUGGGUGCAGGGCACUUAAGCUCCUUGUUCCUGCUGAGGUCCUAGCUGGAAGAGCAGGGGUAUCUGAGAGAAGCCUAGGCUGAUGGGCUGGAGGGAGCCUCCCAGAAUGCCUCAUAGCCCUGGAGAGGCUUGGGGACAGCACAGGGGUCCUGGGCCCUUGGGAGUGUGGGAAGUAACGGAGAGACUUGAAAAGCUCCCAUGCUGGACCCAGGCAGGACCAUAGUGUACCUGAUGUGCAGCUGUAUCAGUUUCUGGAGGCUGCUGUAACAAAUCACCACAAACUGGGUGGCUUCAAACAAUAGAGUUGUGUUCUCUCACCUUUCUGAAGGCCAGCAGUGGGAAAUCUGUCAUGGGCUGAAAUCAAAGUGUUGGCAGGGCCACAGCACCUCUGGAAGGUCUGCAACAGAAUCUUUUCCUUUUCUUUUCCAGCUUCUGGUGGCUUUUGGUCUUCUUAGCACCUUUCUCUGUUCCAUCUGUAAAUCACCUUCUCGUCUGUCUGAACUUCCUCUGUUUCUUACAAGGGCACAUGGAAUUGUACUUUGGACUCACCCAGAUAAUCCAUAAUAAGCUGCUCCUUGCAAAAUCCUUGUCUUAAUCACAUCUUUUGCCAUAUAAAGUGAUCCCCAUCUCUUGCCAUAAUAGGUAAUAGUCUUAGAUUCUGGGGAUUAGGAAAUGAAUAUGUUUUGGGGGAGGGGUCAUCCCCCCCCCCCAUGUAUACCACAAGAAUCUUGCUGUAACCAAGCUCCCUACCUGGAACUGAAGGGCCCAUGAUUGGGAACAAAGCUUGACCAGACAAUGACCAGUGAGGACUGGCAGCCAGGACUCAGACAAAGUAAUGGAAUGUCUGUCUCAGGGGAUCCACCAUGAACAGGUGACACUUGACCUACCUGUAGGAACAGAGAAAAGGAGGUGAGGGUAGGGAAUUUAGAAAUAUGACUGAGAUUAAGUUUCUACCUCACAGAAUGGGGGUUCAUUACAGAAAUAAAAAUUAGAAAAAAAGAAAGAAAAAAGAAAAUUAGAAAAAUGAAAUUACUGUUUUUUUGCAUAUCUAAAUGAUCUGCAAUUGGAAUCUACUACAUAUACCUAUGUACAUACUCAAAAUGAAUUCUCUUCUAUAAAUACUAUUUUAUAGACUAUUUUUUCAUAAUAAGAUGCUCUAUACAUCUUUCCAUGUCAUUAAAUAUUCAUUAUUUUUUCAUCAUUAUUUUUAUAACUGCCUUUGAUAUUCCAUUAAUCAAAUAUACAAUCCUGAAUACACAUAAUCUUGUAUUAUCACACAAUCUCAUGGGUCACCUUAAGUCCUUUUUCCCUCUUUUUUAAUGUAAUGGGAAAUCAAUAUAUUUGUCUUAAUCACAUCUUUUGCCAUAUAAAGUGAUCCCCAUCUUGGGCCAUGAUAGGUAAUAGUCUCAGAUUCUGGGGAUUAGGAAAUGAAUAUGUUUUGGGGGGAGGGUCAUUUUCCCCCCUGUAUACCACAAGAGUCUUGCAGUAACCGAGCUCCCUGCCUGGAACUGAAGGUUCUCUUACAAGGUUGUUAUGAGGAUUAACUAUAAUUUUGAAUAUGUAAAAUUUGAAAUUGAAAAUUUAUAAAUUCAGUUCAAAUUGAAUUUUAAUAUUUUGAUUUGAAACUUGAAAUUCAUGAAAAUCUGAAGUCAUACUUGACCACAUUUAGUUCUCUAUCGUCUCUCAUUACAGUAAAGAUAUUGCCAACUUCGGAAACCUGAUGCAACCCUGCCUCCUUGAGCACCCCACCUCCCACAUCUGCUCAUUGUCAGGUCCUGCCCAUUCACUUUUGUCUCUGGGACUGACCAGUUCUAUCCUCUCAGUCCCUCUCCUGGUUGAGGCCUUCAGCACCUCUCUGGGCUAUUGCUUCAGCCUCCUCCAUGGUUGUCUUCCUUUGGGUUUCCCCAAAGCAGAUCCAGAGACAGGGGCUUGGCUCAUGUAGUUCAUUUGGGGGGUGGUGAUCCUAGAAGAAAAUCAGCUGUGGCUCUGCACUUAUUGGGGAGAGAAAGCAAUAAAGUGCAUGCAGAAAGUGAGCCCAGAGUCACUAGGGAUGGAGAGGCCCCUGUAGGUGAGCAGGCUCUGGGAAAGACUUUUCUCUUCAGGGGCAGAGAGGCUUGAAACGGGAAGCUGUCAGCAGUAACCAGCUACUCCCUGCAGCCGGGUGGACUUUGGAUCUGUAGAGCAGGAUGUCAUAGCAUCUGUGACCCCAGUCUCUUGCCUCAGUCCUCUGCUCUCUAGCCUGUUUCCUAGACACAGUGACUCAGCAAUGCUGUUGUGGACAUGAGGGAGCAGGCAGAGGGACAGUGGGACAGACUGGCUCCCACAGUGGAGCUCAUUGAGGGUCCAUGUCUUGGUUAAUAGGCUGCCUCAUGUCUGAGAGCACCCUCCAGCUUAGUGGGACUGGACUGGACUGGGGUGGAACAGGCCAAAAUCACAUGAGCAUAUCUCAGGACAUUGAAUUUUACUUGAUUCAGUCUAAGUUGGAAAGCCAGAGAGAUAGAAGGCCCAGGGAGACCACCUGAGAGUGCACAUUGGCCUGGGCAGUCUACCCGCAGAUCACUGAGGGUUUACCCUGUGCCUCUUGAGGUAUGGAAGCUUCAGAGGUGUACUAAAGCCAGCAUGGAUGCCAAUUAAUACCUUCAUAUUUGUCUGCAGAUCUUAGCAGGGAAAAAAAGCCCUUAUUGGAAUAGUGCCAUUAUUGGAAAAUAAGUGAAUAAAUGGGACUAUCAUGGGUAUCACAAGAUCCACUGAGAGCAGCUGACUGGAGGGUGGUGACUCCCCACGUCCCCGUGACGGCUCACUCACAGGACUCUCAAAGAAGCCAAGGGACUCCAUCCCCAGGGUGGCUGGUAACAGGCUUGUGUGACCUUCAGCCAGAGCAGGCCCUUCUGGUUCCUUCAGAGGAACAGGCUUCAUUAUGUGCUCAGCAGCCAUUUCCUGGUUCUUGCUUUGUGUGAGGCCCCUUGCUGGGACCUGGGACACAAACAUGGCUUUGGCAUGAUUUCUGCUGUCUGAGGGUCUUGGCAAAUGAGCAGGAGGUUUGGGUAGGCACAAGGGUGGCGGGGAGGGCCUUCCUUAUGGAGCACCUGUAGCACAUAUCAGAACCCUGACAGGUGUAAGAUGGUAAAAAAGAUUUCCACAGGAACCUGGGGGCUGGGGAGGCUGAGACCUAGAGAGGCACAGUGACACGCCAGAGUCACAUAGCUCGUCAAAGGCAGAGCAGGGCUCAACUCUCAAGGCCCAACAUAUUCCCACUCACUGGGCAUGUCCGGAGGACAGGACCAGGCAGCUGGUGGGGACAGGACUCCCCACUCUGAGGGUACCCAUGUGGGUUUGUUCCAGGCUUCCCCUCCCUCCCUGUCUCCUCAGCAUAAGUGGAUGUUGGAUAUGUCUUUCAUUUCUGUAUUCUGGGCCUCUCCCCACCUCUCAGGUCUGCUCCCAGGUAGGGCCAGAGCAAGGCUCCAGGCCAUGUGGACCUGAGGAAGGGACUUAGGAGACAGCUGGAGGAGCCAAACUCAAGCAAACUUUAGCAUAUCUGAUGUGGUAAAGCCAGGGUCUGAGCCGGAGAGCAGCCUUGUGGCAUCUGCAUGGUACAAGUGGAAUGGGGACAGCCCAAGGCCAGAAGCAGGGCAUGAGGCUGAAGAGUAUGGCAUUUUAUGACCUAGCUUUGGAUGUCACACAGCUUCGUACUGUCUGUCCCCUGUUGCUCAAGGCAGCCACAAAUACCUGCCUAGGCUCAAGGGCAAAGGAUAGAAACUGUCUCCUGAUGGGAAGUGGCAAGGCUCUAGCAGGGCCUGUGGGGUAAGAGCUAUUGUCACAGCUGUCUAUGGAAAAUAUAACUCAUCACACCCACUUUACACUUGUAUUUUCACUUUCUGGUGGCAUCUUUUAAAAUUUUUAUGGCACUGGAGAUUGAACCCAGGAGCGCUUUAACCACUGAACUACAUACCCUUUUUAUUUUAUUUUGAGAUGGGGUCUUGCUAAGUCUCUGAGACUGGCCUUGAACUUGCCAUCCUCCUGCCUCAGCCUCUGGAGUAGCUAGGAUUACAAGUAUUUGCCACCACACCCUGCUUCUCU